AGGGAGAGGCAGGAGACACAUGCUCACCCUGGUUGUGAACCAAGGUGCAGUUAAACAGGUAAAAACCCCUGCAGUGAGAGGCAGGAGACACAUGCUCACCCUGGUUGUGAACCAAGGUGCAGCCCAGCUUUGCUGGACCCUGUGAUGCUGAAUUAUUCUUUGCUGCACAGCUCACACACGGGGAAUGACCAAGCCAACACCUGCAGUGUGGGCACUGAGUGACUCCUAAUGAAAUGCCAUCGUGGGGAGGCUCAGAGGGAUGGCUCAAAGGCCAGCCUGCAUUUUAUAAUUUUAUACAUUUGAUAAAUUCUAUAAAUUCUUAGGAAACCAUCUCUUCAUUAGCUUGGUAGGCAAGUUCAGGGUCACACCUUGGAUGAAAUGACCAUAAAUCAGAUCUUUGAAAAUACAGUUCCUUCCUCCUCUGAGCUCUCUCACCUCCUCAGGGCUGUGGCAGAAGGUAAGCCCACUUCAGAGAUGAGGGAAUAGGAAAUAAAAUAAAAAUAAACUUUAAGGUACAAACACUGCACUUCAAGGUUAGGAAUACUCAACCAGUUGUAGUAACUAUGUAGUAACCAUGAGCAGCACUGAUUUUAAACAAACAUAUCUUGUUUGCAGCCCCUCUCUCCUGCCACACAGUAUUUCUAAUCGUUGAGCACAAGAUGUUUAUUCUGAUUUCCAAGUUUUCUGGAAAGCAGAGGACAUGGAUUUCCUGUGGAGAAAGGUCAAUUAUCACACAGAGCAUGGGGAGCUGCCAAAAACACUGCUACGUUCAGACACUAAAACUUGCAUUUUAUUUGCCUGCAGCUGCACUGCACAAAGAAGGGAGUGUUAACCCCCCUGCCCAAGACAAAACAUGACCUAUCUCCAAAGCAAGAGGUGAUUGA